rnacentral:lncRNA from 12 species
CUUCUCUUGGGUUUCUGAACCCUCCAGCUCCUCUUCCACCCUGCAUCUUUGCUUUUUGCAGGAGCUGCCAGAUGUCAAAUUGCUUCAUAUUCUGCGGCUUCGAGAUCCAGGCAAAUGUCCACGAAGGAGAGGAUCGUAACCACCAAGACUCAGUGUGAACGCAGGGCCCUGGAUUCUGUUGUGGUCCUUGCAGGCAUUCCUGUUUCCAAAGUGAGUUCCAGACUGGAUUCCAGAGAUGGCCAACCUGAGGAACCCCUUCUCACAGGUAAGACCCAAUCCUCAAGCUUCCUCCUGCCUGGGCCAGGGGGCUGCCUGGGUGUCCCCCCCGCUCCUGCUCUCUGGCCCUCUCUGAAGCAAUAGCCAUUCCUGGAAAUCCACUCGCAGCCUCCACCAACCUCUCAACAAGGAGUGUUUAUGGCUGCAGCCCUGCAGCUGGGAACCAUAAGGCAUGAAUGAACGUGUGUCCAUAUCUUGGAGCCGAUUUUUGUCAGGAAUGUACUAAACACUUCAUAAAUUAGUCCUUGGCUGUCAAGCUACCUCUGAUAUUAUAUUA